GAAUAAUUGUUUGGCUCACACUUACUUAACACCCGAUCAAACCACCCUAGGCUAGCAUUUUUAAUUAUCUGAAUUCUUUAAUUAAUUUUGUUACUUGUUUCUCACGAAACUCUCAAAUCUUAAAACCCCCAUAUUGUUUUAGUUUGAUAUUGAUCCCAUAAAAAUAAAGUGUAACCAUUGGUCUCUGUGGAUUCGAUCCUAAAGUGCUAUAUCGACAUAUCAUUGGGCCGUCCUUUGCAAUUUAUUGACCUAAAAGGAGCCGCUGCGAUCAUUGGUUUAUACAACACCGACGGCCUUAGGCUAUCAUUCAAUCGCCCAAUAAUGAUCGCAUUUACGUCAUCUCCCCACUUCCUCCACUCCCUCACAUUCAAUAGCCCUCUCACUCCUCUAUAGUAACGGAGGAGUCCUUCUAUAAAUAACAUUGCAGUCUAGGAUGAAACUCAUCACUCGCACCGAAUCAAUAGCUUUCUCUUAAAAACCCAGAUUCCAUCGAUGGAGCCUCUCACCUAUUGCUCUUCGAUUUGAAAGUUUGUCGUUCUACUAAGACUGUGGAGGUGUUACUGCUUAGGUUCUGGGAGGCGCCUAAUGUGACGAAAGGAGGAGAGCUCCAGGGAAUGGACAUGAUCAUCCUCGAUGAACAGGUAAAGCUUGGUCAACGCCCCACCCAUUGAACACUUUUAGACACCUACUAAGGAAGGUUCAAUCUACUCGAUAACUGGGAUAAUUGGGUUGGCGUUACAUGAACAAACCAUAACUCUCCAACUCCCCGAUCUCCAUACACUUCGAUGAGCAACCCGCGUUCAAAAAUAUUCAGUUGCGGGCGCUGCCAAGCUGCUCCCAGGAACUUAGGCCCUGCCAAUUCACAUGAACCAUGUAUAAAGGCAGUGAAAUUCAAUAUUUUGAGAUGUCAAACACAAAACAAUCAGGGUACAGUUGGAACCUAAAGUGAAACAUGAGUAUAAACUGACAGAUACAUUUGAAAAGUGGUCUGCAUAUGGAAAAUUAGACUAGACAGUAAGUAUAUUACUCCACCGAAAGUGUAAUGUUUAUAGUCCUAGAACGUGCAUUAUGAGUGUAAUAUAUCUGGACAUCCAUUAAUAUGAACAUCUAUACAACAUCGACAAUUUGACA